rnacentral:piRNA from 1 species
UUGUUAAUCAGUGUACAGGUCCUCAACCUU